rnacentral:rRNA from 1 species
GACGAACGCUGGCGGCGUGCCUAAUACAUGCAAGUAGGACGCAGUUGCGAACGGGUGAGUAACGCGUAGGUAACUACCUAUUAGAGGGGGAUAACUAUUGGAAACGAUAGCUAAUACCGCAUACUAGUAGAUGGACCUGCGUUGUAUGAGCUAGUAGGUAGGGUAAUGGCCUACCUAGGCAAAGAUACAUAGCCGACCUUGGAGGGUGUUCGGGCAAACUGGGAAUGGGCAACGGCCCAGACUCCUACGGGAGGCAGCAGUAGGGAAUCUUCGGCAAUGGGGGGAAACCCGACCGAGCAACGCCGGGUGAGUGGAGGAGGUUUUCGGAUCGUAAAGCUAUGUUGUUAAGGAAGCGGUACUUAACCAGAAAGGGACGGCUAACUACGUGCCAGCAGCCGCGGUAAUAC